AUCGCUUCUCGGCCUUUUGGCUAAGAUCAAGUGUAGUAUCUGUUCUUAUCAGUUUAAUCAAGAAAUGAAGAUGGAAUAUUAUUUUACAAUGUCUUGAUAAGUUGGGGAGCCUCAUUAUGAAAAUAUGGGAAUCAUAGAAUCUCU
rnacentral:snRNA from 1 species